GGGGUUGUGGCUCAGUGGCAGAGCGCUUGCCCCUCAUGCAUGAGGCCCUGGGUUUGAUCCCUAGCACCACA
rnacentral:tRNA from 1 species